rnacentral:rRNA from 1 species
AGUUCGAUCCCUGGCUCAGAUUGAACGCUGGCGGGAUGUUUUACACAUGCAAGUCGAACGGCAGCACGGACUUCGGUCUGUUGGCGAGUGGCGAACGGGUGAGUAAUGUAUCGGAACGUGCCUAAUGGCGGGGGAUAACUACGCGAAAGCGUAGCUAAUACCGCAUACGCCCUUCGGGGAAAGCCAGGGGACCUUCGGGCCUCUCGCACUAUUAGAGCGGCCGAUAUCGGAUUAGCUAGUUGGUGGGAGUAACGGCUCACCAAGGCGACGAUCGUGCGCUGGUUUGGAGGACGACCAGCCACACUGGGACUGGGGCUUGGCCCAGACUCUACGGGAGGCGAUAGCGAUUUUGGACAAUGGAAACCUGAUCCUUCCGUAACGUGUGCGAUGAAAGGCCACCGGGUUGUAAAGCACUUUUGGCAGGAAAGAAACGGCACGGGAUAGCCACCAUACAGCCAGUAGUACAGAAUAAGCACCGGCUAACUACGUGCCAGCAUACGCGGUAAUACGUAGGUGCAAGCGUUAAUCGGAAUUACUGGGCGUAAAGCGUGCGCAUUUGGGCGGAAGUUAAGGAAAGAAGAUGUAAAUCCCAGAGCUUAACUUUGGAACUGCAUUUUUGCCGCUACCGAGCUAGAGUGUGUCAGAGGAGGUGGAAUUCCACGCGAUGUAGCAGUGAAAUGCGUAGAUAUGCGGAGGAACACCACAGUGGCGAAAGGCAGCCUCACAGGAUAUCUUCACAACUCAUGCACGAAAGCGUGGAGUAAACGGGAUUAGGUACUGGUCCGCUAAACGAUGUCAGCUAGCUGUUGGAACCCCGGGCCUUGGUAUUGGCCACGCAGCUAACGCGUGAAGUUGACCUGGGAGUACGGUCGCAGUUGAAACUCAAGGAAUUGACGGGGACCCGCACAAGCGGUGGAUGAUGUGGAUUAAUUCGAUGCAACGCAAGCCUUACCUACCCUUGACAUGUCUGGAAUCCCGAAGAGAUUUGGAGUGCUCGCAAGAGAACCGGAACUGGUGCUGCAUGGCUGUCGUCAGCUCGUGUCGUGUGGUGUAUUGGGUUAAGUCCCGCAACAGGCGCAACCCUUGUCAUUAGUUGCUACGAAGGCACUCUAAUGAGACUGCCGGUGACAAACCGGAGGAAGGUGAGGAUGACGUCGAGUCCUCAUGGCCCUUAUGGGUAAGGGCUUCACGUCAUACAAUGGUCGGGAUUGGUCGCCAACCCGCGAGGGGAGCCAAUCCCAGAAACCCGAUCGUAGUCCGGAUCGCAGUCUGCAACUCGACUGCGUGAAGUCGGAAUCGCCAGUAUCGCGGAUCAGCAUGUCGCGGUGAAUACGUUCCCGGGUCUUGUACACACCGCCCGUCACACCAUGGGAGUGGGUUUACCGAAGUAGUUAUUUCUAACGUAAGGAGAGGCGAUUACCACGAUGGAUUCAUGACUGGGGUGAGUCGUAACAAAGGUAG